rnacentral:miRNA from 1 species
UUGGGGUGGUCGGCCCUGGAG